GCCGGGGUGCCCGAGCGGACCAAGGGGGUAGGCUCGAGACCUACUGUCUCUCCGAGACACGCGGGUUCAAAUCCCGCCCCCGGCG
rnacentral:tRNA from 3 species